AGAUAUAGAUGGUACAGUUUUGCUGGACAUAGAUGACUAUACAUUAAAGGAGCUUAUUCCCAUUAUUAAAUUAAGAAUAACAUUUAAAAAAGAAUGGCAAAGAACUCAUAUUGCCAAAUUUUCUGAUGAAUGCAAUUUCCAGCAAAGAAUUAAACUUCGAUGUUCCUGGAAAAUCAAAAUUGAAGACCUCCUUUUUGGAUGUAUUGUUUGAUGUUAUAAAAUCCAGAUAUGGUCUGUAUCCAAGUAGUUCACAAUUGUAUGAAUUAGCACAUGAAGUGAUUCUAUGUUUUCCAAAUGUCAAGCCAACACAUGGAAAUGGCUCAGGAAGCUUAGCAUUUUUGUUUACACUUUAAUUUCAAAAUUGUGUCAAUAACAAAUUUUUAUUGUUUUUAGUUAAUUACAAUUAGCAAACAAAAUGUGUGUGGGUGUAUAUAAAUACACCCAAAAUGUGUGUUUAUAAAUAUACACUCAAAAUGUGUGUGUAUAUAUA